rnacentral:rRNA from 1 species
AACGAACGCUGGCGGCAUGCUUAACACAUGCAAGUCGAACGGAAAGGCCGUGCUUUUUUGCGCUGCUCGAGUGGCGAACGGGUGAGUAACACGUGAGUAACCUACCCUUGACUUUGGGAUAACUUCAGGAAGCUUGGGCUAAUACCAGAUAGGAUCUCCUGCUCCAUGGUGGGCGUUGGAAAGUUUAGCCGGUUGGGGAUGGACUCGCGGCUUAUGGGCUUGUUGGUUGGGUAGUGGCUUACCAAGACUUUGACGGGUAGCCGGCCUGAGAGGGUGACCGGCCACAUGAGGACUGAGAUACGGCCCAGACUCGAAUGGGAGGCAACAGGGGGGAGUAUUGCACAGUGGGAGGAAGCCUGAUGCGGAGACGCCGCGUGCGGGAAGACGGCCUGCGGGUAGUAAAACGCAUCCGCUUGAGACGAAGCGUUAGUGACGGUACUGGGAGAAGAAGCACCGGCUAACUACGUG